rnacentral:rRNA from 1 species
GGUAGGGGGCUGCGUACCAUGCAGUCGUACGAGAAGCCCGGUUCGCCGGGCGAGUAAAGUGGCGCACGGGUGAGUAACGCGUGGGUAAUCUACCUCGGUCUGGGGGAUAACGUACCGAAAGGUACGCUAAUACCGCAUGACCCGGCGGGUCUCAGGUCCCGUCGGAAAAGGUUGCCUCUACAUGUAAGCUAUCGAACCGAGAUGAGCCCGCGUCCUAUUAGCUUGUUGGUGGGGUAACGGCCUACCAAGGCGACGAUGGGUAGCUGGUCUGAGAGGACGGCCAGCCACACUGGAACUGGUACACGGUCCAGACUCCUACGGGAGGCAGCAGUGAGGAAUAUUGCGCAAUGGGGGAAACCCUGACGCAGCGAUGCCGCGUGGGUGAAGAAGGCCUUCGGGUCGUAAAGCCCUGUCAAGCGGGAAGAAUAGCCCGGUGGCUAAUAUCCAUCGGGUGUGACGGUACCGCUGAAGGAAGCACCGGCUAACUCCGUGCCAGCAGCCGCGGUAAGACGGAGGGUGCGAGCGUUAUUCGGAUUUAUUGGGCGUAAAGGGUGUGUAGGCGGUCGAUCAAGUCUGAUGUGAAAGCCCGGGGCUUAACCUCGGAAGGGCGUUGGAAACUGGUCGACUUGAGUUCGGGAGAGGAAAGCGGAAUUCCGGGUGUAGAGGUGAAAUUCGUAGAUAUCCGGAGGAACACCGGUGGCGAAGGCGGCUUUCUGGACCGAAACUGACGCUGAGACACGAAAGCGUGGGGAGCAAACAGGAUUAGAUACCCUGGUAGUCCUAGCCGUAAACGAUGUGCACUAGAUCGGGGACGUCUCUGCGUUCUUGGUCGGAGCCAAUGUGUUAAGUGCACCGCCUGGGGAGUACAGUCGCAAGGCUGAAACUCAAAGGAAUUGACGG